UAGGGAAUCUUCGGCAAUGGGGGGAACCCUGACCGAGCAACGCCGCGUGAGUGAAGAAGGUUUUCGGAUCGUAAAGCUCUGUUGUUAAGGAAGAACGAGUGUGAGAAUGGAAAGUUCAUACUGUGACGGUACUUAACCAGAAAGCCACGGCUAACUACGUGCCAGCAGCCGCGGUAAUACGUAGGUGGCAAGCGUUGUCCGGAUUUAUUGGGCGUAAAGCGAGCGCAGGCGGUCAAUUAAGUCUGAUGUGAAAGCCCCCGGCUCAACCGGGGAGGGUCAUUGGAAACUGGUUGACUUGAGUGCAGAAGGGGAGAGUGGAAUUCCAUGUGUAGCGGUGAAAUGCGUAAAUAUAUGGAGGAACACCGGUGGCGAAAGCGGCUCUCUGGUCUGUAACUGACGCUGAGGCUCGAAAGCGUGGGGAGCGAACAGG
rnacentral:rRNA from 1 species